UGGGGAAUUUUGGACAAUGGGCGAAAGCCUGAUCCAGCAAUGCCGCGUGUGUGAAGAAGGCCUUCGGGUUGUAAAGCACUUUUGUCCGGAAAGAAAUCCUUGGCUCUAAUACAGUCGGGGGAUGACGGUACCGGAAGAAUAAGCACCGGUUAACUACGUGCCAGCAGCCGCGGUAAUACGUAGGGUGCAAGCGUUAAUCGGAAUUACUGGGCGUAAAGCGUGCGCAGGCGGUUUGCUAAGACCGAUGUGAAAUCCCCGGGCUCAACCUGGGAACUGCAUUGGUGACUGGCAGGCUAGAGUAUGGCAGAGGGGGGUAGAAUUCCACGUGUAGCAGUGAAAUGCGUAGAGAUGUGGAGGAAUACCGAUGGCGAAGGCAGCCCCCUGGGCCAAUACUGACGCUCAUGCACGAAAGCGUGGGGAGCAAAACAGGAUUAGAUACCCUGGUAGUCCACGCCCUAAACGAUGUCAACUAGUUGUUGGGGAUCAUUUCCUUAGUAACGUAGCUAACGCGUGAAGUUGACCGCCUGGGGAGUACGGUCGCAAGAUUAAAACUCAAAUGAAUUGACGGGGUCAUAGCUGUUUCCU
rnacentral:rRNA from 1 species